CAUCUACUCCCUCCGUCCGAAAAUACUUGUCGGAGAAAUGGAUACAAAUGGAUGUAUUUAGAACUAAAAUACAUCUAGAUUCAUCCAUUCCUCGGACAAGUAUUUCCGGACGGAGGGAGUACAAG
rnacentral:pre_miRNA from 1 species